rnacentral:rRNA from 1 species
UGAGGAAUAUUGGACAAUGGGCGCAAGCCUGAUCCAGCCAUGCCGCGUGCAGGAUGACGGUCCUAUGGAUUGUAAACUGCUUUUGUACAGGAAGAAACAGUUCUACGUGUAGAACCUUGACGGUACUGUAAGAAUAAGGAUCGGCUAACUCCGUGCCAGCAGCCGCGGUAAUACGGAGGAUCCAAGCGUUAUCCGGAAUCAUUGGGUUUAAAGGGUCCGUAGGCGGUUAGAUAAGUCAGUGGUGAAAGCCCAUCGCUCAACGGUGGAACGGCCAUUGAUACUGUCUGACUUGAAUUAUUAGGAAGUAACUAGAAUAUGUAGUGUAGCGGUGAAAUGCUUAGAGAUUACAUGGAAUACCAAUUGCGAAGGCAGGUUACUACUAAUGGAUUGACGCUGAUGGACGAAAGCGUGGGUAGCGAACAGGAUUAGAUACCAGUAGUCCCUGAGCGGGCUGGCAAGGCGCAU